AUGACCCAGAAGAUCCAGAUUCCAGAACCUAUCACUACGAGUGGAUCUCCGGCCAUUUAGGGUAAACGAAGCUUUCAUUUGCAGGUGGCUCUGGUUACUCUUCAGCUCUGUUAGUGGUUUUUUGGCGACUCGUGCUGUGGACUGAUCUCUGUUAAUGGUGUUUUGCUUACAGAGUUGGAUUCUUGUGAACUCUUACACCUCUUGGUGAAGUAGAGACAACUCCGUUGAUCGAAGUUUCUGCUAAUUGAAAGCUUGACGGUAGAAAUUAUCCAUUCUUUUUCUGUGAGAAUCAUGAGAUUAGAUCCAAGAAUCGUGUAUGCUUUAAGUGCUGGUUAAAGAAUCUCGAAGUGAUGUUAGACUGGAACACCUCUGAGCUUGAAGGCAUUCUGUGGGAUGAGUUUAGAGUGAAUGAUGAUCAUUUAGUACCUCAUCCUAGUGGUGAAGAAGUACUUGACUCCGCUGGUCAAGUUGAUUGCCAUAAGAAGCCACGACAUGAAGAAGCAAGUGCAUUUACAAACAGUGCAAGUGGCGAGGAUGCUGUUAAAAGUGCCCUCCACGGAAAAGAUGGAACAAGUUUUGCAAUUGUGAAGGACCAAAAGGCUCCAAUGCCCCUAAUGGGUUCAUGUUCUUGCACACCUGAUGGAGUCUUUCCAGCUUCAUGCGAUAAUGACUCCAUUAAGGGAAUGUCAAGUUUAACUGCCGAUGGUACUAAGCUACCUAAUACCUGCUUCAAUAGUAACCACAUAGAUUUUAUUAGCAAUGAGUUUUGUGCACAUGAUCCCAUUCUUGGUAAUAGAAGUGCUGUAAUAGGCAGUAGCUCGUGCCACUUCCCACUUGGUGGUAUUUCUUCAACAGGCAGUGAUCUUGAAUUUUUUGCUAAUGGACAUGAGGACAAGGAGAGCAGCGGUCUUCCGUAUCACGCUUGGCCUGAUAUUGGCAAUUUUGAGGACGUUGACAGAAUGUUUAGAAACUGCGAUUCCACAUUCGGACAUGGGAAUAUGGGUCAUGAUGAUGAUUUGUCAUGCUUUUCUGCUUCCUCUCUUGCCAUUGAUGGUUCUGAAGAUGCCAUGAAAUCAGGCGUUAAAUACUCAUCAUCGGAUUCAAAUGAAUUGAGAAUUAUAUCAAAGCAUCAUGAGCCUGAUCUGAACUUUGCGGUUGACACUGUCACUCCUUUGAUCAAUUAUUCUGGUGAAAAUAGUGUCCCCUAUAAUUAUAAGAUCGAUUCUCGGCUACAAGAUGCCAGUGAACUGACUACUUUAGGUCAUUCAACAUAUGUCAGUUGGUCUGAUGCAAAUGCUGAAAAUAGGGAGUCUGUGUCCAUUGAACAGAUCAAUUUGCAAAAUCAGCAGUUGAAGCAACACAAUCAAUCUGUUGGAAAAAGAAAAAAUCAGUCCUCAAAAUUCAAUGGUGAUGGUCUUUCCCAUGGUCUUGGGCCUUUUCAACAGUUUGCAAAUGUGAAGAUUCCCUCUUCUGUGUCCUCGUACCAACAAAUUUUUCCUUCUCUAGACAUUCCGCAACAACAGCAAAACAUAAGACCUAAUUUCUCAAGCUACUCGGACAGACAAAUGCCUUACAUGCAACCAGAGUAUAAAGAUCCUUCACAUCAAGUUCCUGUUACACCAACAUCUAGCAUCAAGAUAGAAAACAAUGGUUAUCCUUCUGGUUCUUCAAAAUCUUCUUCUUAUGCAUCAAACCAUGCACAACCAAUAGAAAGGUCUCCUGAUUCUUCACUAGAAGCUUCGACUAUGAAAUCAGGGAAAAGAGUUGGAAAACCUUUUCAAGAGCAGCAGCUACAUGCCAAACUAACUGGUGAUCCUCAAUAUGAGGACUUGGGGAUGAGGCCUGCAUUUACUGGUCAAGUUUCAACCCAGAAGUACCCAGCUCAAAUUCGAGAUGAAGUUGGAGCUCAUAGCGAAAUUGAAGGAGCAAACAUUGUACUUCCAGCAGAGGAUUCCUCAACUGUACAACAAAGCUCUUGUGUGAGCACUGCACUGUCAGUUGUAGUAUCAAUAGAAGAAACUAGUUUUCGGCAGCUUCAAUACAUCAUGGAACAGCUGGAUAUUAGUACGAAGCUGUGCAUAAGAGAUAGUCUGUACCGCUUGGCUAGAAGUGCUGAACAAAGACAUAAUAUUGGAAAUUUAGAUGGUUGCAGCAGAAACUGUAGUGUUAAAUCUGGAGUAUUGAAGACUGAAGAUUCAAAUAAUUUUUGUGCAGAUGCACACGAUUUAUGGAUAUGGAAACUGAUACAAACCCCAUAGAUCGGUCAUUGGCACACUUACUUUUCCACAGGCCCUCAGAUGUUUCUACGACGGCCAUUAAUGAUGUUUUGUCCCAAGAGUCACAUGCUAUGCUUCAUUGGUCUAUUUCAACUCAACCUGCAAUGUCAAGAGAAGCUGGUUUGCCCUGAAGAAGUUGCUGGUGGUGCAGAAAACAGAGAUGCAUACUGAGCAGUAGAAUUUGAGCUUCAGCUGCAAAUCUGCAACUCAAAUGGAACACUUCCAUGUAUUUCACCUUGCUGGUUGUUAUGUAUAUAUAAUAUUUUGAAGAGGCACCCGCAAACAUAUCAGGUUUGAUGGCAUUUCCUGGGAAUGUCAUUCUAUGCUAUAUAGCCUUAAAGCCCGUAUCUUGUGUGCUUCAAAUUUAACCAUACACAUGUUUCAGCUGUUUAUCUUCUCACCUGCUGCACAUAUUCAGCAUUUAAUUUGUAUGUUAACUUCAUGUUUGUAAUAUACUUUUUUAUUUCUGAGUAAAACAAAAGGGGAAAAAAAAAAAAGUGGCUAAGAGUUGCUGCGUUUAUGCUUUAA